rnacentral:sRNA from 1 species
ACAGAACACAUACAGCAUGGAGAAAGCUUCUCCACAUAAUCCCCUACAUAUGCCUCAACUCUGACCUGGAGAGCCCACCUCUAAA